rnacentral:rRNA from 2 species
UACGGAGGAUGCGAGCGUUAUCCGGAUUUAUUGGGUUUAAAGGGAGCGUAGACGGCCGUUUAAGUCAGCUGUGAAAUGGUGCGGCUCAACCGUAGCACUGCAGUUGAAACUGGACGGCUUGAGUGCAGUUGAGGCAGGCGGAAUUCGUGGUGUAGCGGUGAAAUGCUUAGAUAUCACGAAGAACCCCGAUUGCGAAGGCAGCCUGCUAAGCUGCAACUGACGUUGAGGCUCGAAAGUGUGGGUAUCAAACAGG